rnacentral:rRNA from 1 species
UGGCGGACGGGUGAGUAACNCGUAAAGAACUUGCCCUUUAGACUGGGAUAACAGAGGGAAACUUCUGAUAAUACUGGAUAAGUUAGUAUAUCGCAUGAUAUGCAAAUGAAAGCUACGGCACUAAAGGAGAGCUUUGCGUCCUAUUAGCUAGUUGGUAAGGUAAGAGCUUACCAAGGCGAUGAUAGGUAGCCGGCCUGAGAGGGUGGACGGCCACAAGAGGACUGAGAUACGGCCCUUACUCCUACGGGAGGCAGCAGGG